rnacentral:lncRNA from 1 species
CGGCCGCUGCGGCGGGAGGAGCCCCCCAGGAGGAGGACGGGGAUCCAUGUGUCUUUCCUGGUGACUAGGAUGUCGUCGGAGGAGGACCGGAGCGCGGAGCAGCAGCAGCCGCCGCCAGCACCCCCCGAGGAGCCCGGAGCCCCGGCCCCGAGCCCCGCAGCCGCAGACAAAAGACCUCGGGGCCGGCCUCGCAAAGAUGGCGCUUCCCCUUUCCAGAGAGCCAGAAAGAAGCCUCGAAGUAGAGGAAAAUCUACAGUGGAAGAUGAGGACAGCACGGAUGGACUGGAGACGACGGAGACAGAAAAUAUUGUGGAGACAGAAGUCAAAGAACAAUCUGUGGAGGAGGACGCUGAGACAGAAGUGGAGAGCAGCAAGCAGCCAGCCUCAGCUCUUCAGCGGUCUGUGUCUGAGGACUCUGCACACUCCCUGGUCUCUGUCGGUGUAGAAGCCAAAAUCAGUGAACAGCUCUGCGCCUUUUGUUACUGUGGGGAGAAAAGUUCCUU